CCAAAGAGAACCCAUAGUCAUGAUCAUACCAAUAAUCUACCCAUCUUUACACUCAAGUUAAAGAGAAAUUUCUUCACCAGGAUUAUAAAAAUGUUAUAUAUGAAAAUCAAACAUGGAUUUAAUUUCAAGAGUAAGAUUCAUAAAUCAACGAUAAUUUUGUCAGAAAAAGAAACCAAUUUUGUCAUGAAUAGUAACUCGUGAAUAGUAAC
rnacentral:lncRNA from 1 species